UAAUUAAAUACUUUGUACUUUCGUAUAAAUUCAGGAAUAUGGCCUGAACGUUUCUACCGAGCUACCGUAAAUGGCUUGACUACGAGGUGAGUGCAUAAUAAA
rnacentral:ncRNA from 2 species